rnacentral:lncRNA from 1 species
UACUUUUCAAGUCUCUUAGCUACCGUUUGGUUCGGGGUUAAGAAAAAACUAGUUAUUUCAGAGAUAGGGUUAAGUUCAGGGUUAAGGUGGGGUUGGAAUAUUUUUAUGUUUGAUUGGAGGUUGGAGUUAGUCCAGAAUAGUGAAAAAUAAUGUUUGAUUGGAGUAGGUGGGAUAAAAAAAAUUGUGGAUUAUUAUGAAUAAAAAAUAGUAUUUAGUUGGAGUUUUGUGGAGUUAGGUGUGGUUAGCUAAUCCGGAAUAGUCCAUUUGAGAUGGGAUUAGCUAACCCCACUCAUUUUUUGAGGUGUUUGUGGAUAAUAUGGGGGUUAAAGGAUUAUUCCACCCCUUAACCUCCAACCAAACAAAGGCUUAUAGAGAUUUUAAAAGAUUUACGAGCAUGCUUGGUCCACCUAUUUUAAACUAUAAAGUUAAAAUAAAAAUUUUUGAUUUUGGUAGUUGUCGUUUAUUUUAUAAAAAUUAAAUUUUAGUUUCUAUUUUACUCCUGAAUGAGAAUAGCUAAAUCUAUUUAUGAUUUAAUCCGGCUUUGAAUCUCGAAUUAGCCCAUUUCAAAAUAAAUUAUUCAAAAUUCUUUUCUUCUUUUUCUUCAUCACUUUUCUUUCUCCUAAUUAAAACUCUCUCUCAAAAAUUCUAAAUUUCUAUUUCGAUUUUCAUUCCAAUAAAAAUCAAAUAUUUUUAGAUAAUUCAUUAUUUCAUUUCUCAUUCCAAAUUAACAAUCUAAUUUUAUUUUUUAUUUCUAUUUCAAUCACGAACGAAACAUGCCCUACAUGCAUGCACAAAUUGAUUCAUACCUAU